UACGUAGGGUGCAAGCGUUGUCCGGAAUUAUUGGGCGUAAAGAGCUCGUAGGCGGUCUGUCACGUCGGCUGUGAAAACCCGGGGCUCAACCCCGGGCCUGCAGUCGAUACGGGCAGACUAGAGUGCGGUAGGGGAGACUGGAAUUCCUAGUGUAGCGGUGAAAUGCGCAGAUAUCAGGAGGAACACCGGUGGCGAAGGCGGGUCUCUGGGCCGUAACUGACGCUGAGGAGCGAAAGCGUGGGGAGCGAACAGG
rnacentral:rRNA from 1 species